AUUGAACGCUGGCGGCAGGCCUAACACAUGCAAGUCGAGCGGAUGAAGCGAUCUUUCUCCUGUUUUCAGCGGCGCACGGUUGCGUAAUGCCUAUGUAUCUCCCUGGUAUUGGUGUAUAACGUCCUUAAACCGGCGCUAAUACCCCAUACGUCCUUAGGGAGUUUGUGCCGGAUCUUCGGACCUUUCGCUAUCAGAUUAGCCUAGGUCGGAUUAUCUAGUUGGUGUGUUAAAGUCCUACCAAGUCGACGAUCCGUAACUGAUCUGAGAGGAUGAUCAGUCACAGUGGAACAGAGACACGGACGAGAAUCGUACGGGAGGCAGCAGUGGGGAAGAUUGGACAAAGGGCGAAAGCAUGAUAGAGGAAUGCCGCGUGUGUGAAGAAGGUCUUGGGAUUGUAAAGGACUUAAAGUUGGGAGGAAGGGAAGUAAGUUAAUACCUUGCUGUAUUGACGUUACCAAGAGAAUAAGAACCGGCUAACUUCGUG
rnacentral:rRNA from 1 species